GACGAACGCUGGCGGCGUGCCUAAUAUAUGCAAGUAGAACGCUGAAGAGAGGAGCUUGCUCUUCUUGGAUGAGUUGCGAACGGGUGAGUAACGCGUAGGUAACCUGCCUUGUAGCGGGGGAUAACUAUUGGAAACGAUAGCUAAUACCGCAUAACAAUGGAUGACCCAUGUCAUUUAUUGGAAAGGGGCAAAUGCUCCACUACAAGAUGGACCUGCGUUGUAUUAGCUAGUAGGUGAGGUAACGGCUCACCUAGGCGACGAUACAUAGCCGACCUGAGAGGGUGAUCGGCCACACUGGGACUGAGACACGGCCCAGACUCCUACGGGGGGCAGCAGUAGGGAAUCUUCGGCAAUGGGGGCAACCCUGACCGAGCAACGCCGCGUGAGUGAAGAAGGUUUUCGGGUCGUAAAGCUCUGUUGUAAGUCAAGAACGAGUGUGAGAGUGGAAAGUUCACACUGUGACGGUAGCUUACCAGAAAGGGACGGCUAACUACGUG
rnacentral:rRNA from 1 species